GGUAUCUGAUGCUUUGAUUUUAUUGAAUAUUUAACGAUUGUUUAUUGGACUAGGCGCUUUAUAAGGUUUAACUUCUACAAGCUCAGAUCUUCAGGAUAUGGAACAGAAAGCUGCAACAGAAAACUGAAAUAUGCCAAGCCCUCCUCCAAUCAUCAUCAUGGUUUUACUUUCAUUUUUUCAGUUCUUGGAGGACUUGGCAUAUAUAUCUUUUGUUUAGCAUUUUAUUAAAUUACAAUUGAUGCUGAUUUUGCAGUCAGUAAUAUGGAAGAAAGAACUUCAGGAAACGACGAACAAGAGAAGACAAAGAUUUGUUACUUGCUCAAGCAGGAACUUGGAUAGUUGAUGAUAAAAUAGCCAUCAAACCUCAGACUAAUCAACGUAUUCAUGUUCCAAACGGUGAAUUUCUGCUAUUGCUGCAUGUCUCGAUCGAACUACAGUAUCAGUUAAUUGGGUUAGUGAGUCUUUUUCUUCCUAUGUUCAAAUUAGUCAUUGUAAACUGUCUUACACCAUUGUUAUUGGUAUUUAAUCUUU